rnacentral:rRNA from 1 species
UACGUAGGGCGCAAGCGUUGUCCGGAAUUAUUGGGCGUAAAGAGCUCGUAGGCGGUCUGUCACGUCUGCUGUGAAAACCCGAGGCUCAACCUCGGGCUUGCAGUGGGUACGGGCAGACUAGAGUGCGGUAGGGGAGACUGGAAUUCCUGGUGUAGCGGUAAAAUGCACAGAUAUCAGGAGGAACACCGAUGGCGAAGGCAGGUCUCUGGGCCGCAACUGACGCUGAGGAGCGAAAGCGUGGGUAGCAAACAGGAUUAGAUACCCGU